rnacentral:lncRNA from 10 species
GGUGGCUCAUGCCUGUACUCCCAGGCUGGUCUCAAACUCCUGACCUCAGGUGAUCCGCCUACCUCCCAAGGUGCUGGGAUUAAAGGCGUGAGCCACCGUGCCUAGCAUAUGUUUAUUUUUAAUUUAGAACUCAUCAUGGCUUGUCUAUAUACAUUGAAAUAAUGAUGUGACACACAAACUGUUGUGAAAAAUGUCAGUUACUUUGAAUGUAAGCAUUUUUUCCAAAAUCACUUAUGUGUCUAAACCAAUUCCUUCUAUAAAUCAGUAAGAAAAUGAUAAAACAAUUCAACAGGAAAAUGAACAAAGGCCAGAAAACUCAGAGAAGAAGCACAAAUGUUCAACAAACGUAUAAAGAUAUUUAAUUAAAUUCAUGAGUAAUCAGAAAAAUUCACAUUUAGAUGGAAUCCCUUUUAUUCAUCCAUAACUUCAGCAAAAAGUUGGAGAAUACCCAGCAGUGAAAAGGUGUCGGGAAAUGAAUGCUGUCAUAUUCUGCUGACAAUAGAGUAAGUUGGCACAAAAUUUUUGAAGGCAAUUAAAAUUUUAUAUCUACAUAGUCUUCACCCCAACAAUUCCAUUUCUAGAUAUCUAUGCUACAGGAAUACUUGCACAUGUUCACAAAGAAGCAUGUACAGGGAUUUCAUUGCAGCAAUGCAUGUAACAAGAAAACUAAGCAUAAUCUAAACAUUCAUCAAUGGGGGAAUUAUUAAAUAAACCAUGAUGCAUCCAUACUAUGGAUUAUGCAGGAGUUUAAAUGAAUGGGGUGACCCUCUAAGUACUGGGAAGGAAAGAAAUCUAAGGCAUAUCAUGAAGUGAAAGAAUCACGUUGUAAGAUGUUACCCUUUAUGUGAAGAAAAAAUUUUAAAAACCACAAAACAAAUCUAUUUUGCUUUAUGUAAAUAUGUAUGUAGGUAAAUGGGGAAAAGUCUGGAAGCAUGUAUACUAAAUGCAGAGUAGCAUUACUUCAGGGAUGAGGGAGUAGGGCACAAGGAGAGUUUUUGUUAUAUCUGUUAUUGCAUUUUUAUACAUUAAAAAUGGAAUCAUGGGCUGCGGGUGGUGGCUCAUGCCUGUAAUAUGAACACUUUAAGAGGCCAAGGUGGGAGGAUCACUUGAGCCCAGGAGUUCAAGACCAGCCUAAGCAGCAUAGGAAGACCCUGUCUCUACAAAACAUACAAAAUUAGGUGGGUGUGGUGGCAUGCACCUGUGGUCCCAGCUACUGGGGAGGCUGAGGUGAGAGGAUCACUUGGGCCUGGGAGGUGAAGGCUGCAGUGAGCUGUGAUUGUGCCACUGCACUGCAGCCCAGAGGACAAAGUAAGAACCUGUCUCUG